rnacentral:rRNA from 1 species
GAUGAACGCUGGCGGCUUGCCUAAUACAUGCAAGUCGAGCGAACGGACGAGAAGCUUGCUUCUCUGAUGUUAGCGGCGGACGGGUGAGUAACACGUGGAUAACCUACCUAUAAGACUGGGAUAACUUCGGGAAACCGGAGCUAAUACCGGAUAAUAUUUUGAACCGCAUGGUUCAAAAGUGAAAGACGGUCUUGCUGUCACUUAUAGAUGGAUCCGCGCUGCAUUAGCUAGUUGGUAAGGUAACGGCUUACCAAGGCAACGAUGCAUAGCCGACCUGAGAGGGUGAUCGGCCACACUGGAACUGAGACACGGUCCAGACUCCUACGGGAGGCAGCAGUAGGGAAUCUUCCGCAAUGGGCGAAAGCCUGACGGAGCAACGCCGCGUGAGUGAUGAAGGUCUUCGGAUCGUAAAACUCUGUUAUUAGGGAAGAACAUAUGUGUAAGUAACUGUGCACAUCUUGACGGUACCUAAUCAGAAAGCCACGGCUAACUACGUGCCAGCAGCCGAGGUAAUACGUAGGUGGCAAGCGUUAUCCGGAAUUAUUGGGCGUAAAGCGCGCGUAGGCGGUUUUUUAAGUCUGAUGUGAAAGCCCACGGCUCAACCGUGGAGGGUCAUUGGAAACUGGAAAACUUGAGUGCAGAAGAGGAAAGUGGAAUUCCAUGUGUAGCGGUGAAAUGCGCAGAGAUAUGGAGGAACACCAGUGGCGAAGGCGACUUUCUGGUCUGUAACUGACGCUGAUGUGCGAAAGCGUGGGGAUCAAACAGGAUUAGAUACCCUGGUAGUCCACGCCGUAAACGAUGAGUGCUAAGUGUUAGGGGGUUUCCGCCCCUUAGUGCUGCAGCUAACGCAUUAAGCACUCCGCCUGGGGAGUACGACCGCAAGGUUGAAACUCAAAGGAAUUGACGGGGACCCGCACAAGCGGUGGAGCAUGUGGUUUAAUUCGAAGCAACGCGAAGAACCUUACCAAAUCUUGACAUCCUUUGACAACUCUAGAGAUAGAGCCUUCCCCUUCGGGGGACAAAGUGACAGGUGGUGCAUGGUUGUCGUCAGCUCGUGUCGUGAGAUGUUGGGUUAAGUCCCGCAACGAGCGCAACCCUUAAGCUUAGUUGCCAUCAUUAAGUUGGGCACUCUAAGUUGACUGCCGGUGACAAACCGGAGGAAGGUGGGGAUGACGUCAAAUCAUCAUGCCCCUUAUGAUUUGGGCUACACACGUGCUACAAUGGACAAUACAAAGGGCAGCGAAACCGCGAGGUCAAGCAAAUCCCAUAAAGUUGUUCUCAGUUCGGAUUGUAGUCUGCAACUCGACUACAUGAAGCUGGAAUCGCUAGUAAUCGUAGAUCAGCAUGCUACGGUGAAUACGUUCCCGGGUCU